CUCUGGGGGAGGAGGUGCCCCUGCAGCCCACAUUAAUCAUUCUGGGGCCUCAGCCCCAGGCUGCAACAUCCUGUUCCUAAAAGCUGUGACUUCCUGAGGCUUAGGGGAGAAAAAGGGCUCAGGACUGAGGAGUGAAGAGCUCCAGGGAUUUCACUCUUCUUUGUGUGUGUGAAGGAAGGUUUAUUUGCAAGAUGGGUUUGAGGGAAUUAAGGAUAAAGUCUGCUGAAAGUAGCACCAGCCUCUGGAUUAAAAGGGAUGUUUGGAUGAAGCUUCAAUCUCAAGAAGAGGCAAGAGAAAACUAAAGAAAAAGAGACAAGAAGGUAGUUGACAAGCUGUGAACCUGCAUUGCAUUCUAGUGAUGGGACACGUGGAAGGGGAAGCUGAAGUUGAAGGGUGGAUGGUAGCAGCCACAGGGAGUGAGAUGGGCUCGUUUCUGGAGCUGUUGGGAGAGAAAAAGGGAGUCAAACGGGAAUUCACACAGGGUUGUGCAUUAUAUCCAAGUGUGUAUUCAGAUACAAGCCUUUAUCUCAAUACCUUCCUUACCCCCAUUCCGCACAUAUCUCAUACCAAAGUACAAAUAAAACCAUUCCCAAUUGUUCUAA
rnacentral:lncRNA from 1 species